rnacentral:lncRNA from 1 species
GAUGUUAAACUGGGUUGUCAAAGUCGUACCCCAACCACCUGAGCCGCCGUCCAAAAUCGCAGAGGGUCCGAAGGGCGGCAAACAAAGUGCUGCCCCCCCUGUCGCCGAAGCUCCGCCUCCUCCUCCUGAGAAGAAAGUGAAGUUUCAAGAUGAAUGCAAAAACGAAGCUUCAAAGGCUGAGAAUUCAAAGCAGGAGAACCAAGCAGCGGCAGGAAACGGUCCUGCGCCUGGGGUGCUGACCUGGAUCAGCAGCUCUCUUCCACAUCCUGCAGCCUCACCAAGCCUGAACAGAGCAAUCCCCGCCCACUCCACCAAGGAGGAGGCUGCAGCGCUCAGAAAGGGGAUGAUGGCCUGGAUCUCUCAGGGCUUGGAGAAGGUCGUUCCUCAGCCUGAGCUGAAGAGCAAAGAGCCCACAGCAGCGGAGCAGCCUCAGGUGCGUCAGACAGCGCCUCCUGCAGAAUCUCAGGUCACAGCGAAGGAGGCGGAGAGCGACCAAAGUGAGAAGUUAGGCCCGCCCAGGAUGAUGGAGUGGAUCAAACAUGGAAUCGAGAAGGUGGUUCCUCAUCCGGAGAGUCACUCCACCAACGAGAAGACUGAAGCUAAAGGUGCUUCUACUUCGCUGUUGAGAGUCACUGAUGAUGAUGAUGAUGAUGAUGACCUUCAAUUCCACUCGUGGUGUCUUUUGUUUGUUUCAGUGAUCAAAGUUCUGGCUUCGGCUCCAAAACCUCCCUCAGAGACAGAGCUCACCAAUGAAGCAGAGCAGCAGCCAAAUAUGAUGGGCUGGAUCGUCAGUGGGAUCGGCCGCAUGCUGCCUCAGCCAGUCCUGAAGCCGGACGCAGGAAGUGACGAGGUGCAGACGAGAAGGAAAGGAAAGCAGAGCCCCUUAAAAUAA